rnacentral:rRNA from 1 species
AUGCAAGUGAGCUUCUCCGAGCUCAAGGCAAGCGUACAGGACAUGCAGCUGGUUGUCAAGAGAGGAAAUGAUGCGGCUCUUCAGGCCAGGAUCCAGUCUUGGUUCCGCCUGAUCAAGAAAGCGCAAAAGCAGUUGAAGAAGAUCAGCAGAAAGUCUUCUCCGGCUGAUGUCGGGAGCUGCAGAGUGGUCAGUCUGUUGGCUGAAGCUAGGGACGUCGCUGUCACAACGAUUGAAUCCUCGUUGGAACUCCUGUCGAAGCAAAUUGCCACGCAGAAUUCCAGCAGGUGGUCUCUCGUGUCCAGGGGGUUCCAGAAGAAAAGUGUGGCAUGCAAGGAGGAGCAACUGCAGGUGCUGGAGUUGGACAUUGUUGAUCUUGAGAGCGGAGUCGAGUCUUUGUUCAGGAGAUUGAUCCAGAGCAGAGUUUCUCUUCUCAAUACUCUGAGCUUGUAG